GGACAGCCUGCUCCUGCACCUUCAAGAUUUCUGUCUUGAAGCACAUCCAGCCUUCCUGAGCCCCUUUGUUUUUAAGGACUGCUUCCCAAGGGACUUCCCUAGUCAGUGUCCUCAAUAGGCCAAAGUCAUCCUCUGGAAGUCCAGAGGUUUUUGUUUAGCCUGCCCACCACUUGCUUCUCUAAUAAUUGAAAAUCCCAUGAUUUUAUGGUCACUGUGCCCAAGGCAGCCUCUGACCACAUCUCCCACCAACAUUUCUCUGUCUGUAAACCACAGUCUAGUGGGGCAUAAUCCCUGCAGGCUCAUUUUUUUACCAGCUGUGUGAGAAAGUUCUCUUCCAUACACUCCAGGGACCUCCUAGACUGCCUCCUUGCUGCCGUGUUGAGCUUGCAGGAGACAUCCAGCAGGUUACAGUCUCCCACAGGAACAAGGGCUGGAGAUGGUGAAACAUCAGCCAGCCACCUAUAGAAUGAUUUGUUUGAAUCAUCAUCCAACACCACUAAUUUUCACCCUGUAAGAUAUCUAAACUGAACCCUGAAUGCUUUAAGGGAGAUUAGCUUCCAAAAUAUAAUCCUUAUUAAAAAUGUGUAAUUCUGAAUGCAUCACCUUGCAUCUGGCUCUAUUAAUGAGAUUAAUUUGACAAGUAAUCAAGAUUUCUCAGAAAGAAUUUUUACCUGUCAUUGCAAAUCCCGAGUCAUCACACUUAACCUUCAAGUAGUUACAAUGCUUCCUCCUACAUCACAGUGGUUUCAAGAAGUAUUCCUAUUUAUUAUUUCUACACUCACUUACUAUGUUUUAAUUAAGUUUUCAUGUGUGUUACCGAUUUUUUAAUCUUGAUCUUCUUUUGACAUGGUGUUUGUCAGGUCUCACAGGAGUCCAUGAGGUCAACAAAAUUCUUCACAGUCAAUCCAAAUAGAAGCAUUGCCUUGGCCAUGUGAAUGACUGCCCAGAAGACAGGAAACCCCUUUAUCACUGAAAUUUAGCCAAAUAAUUAUUUUUCAAAUUUUGUUUAGUUUGUAUGAACAUUCAGAGCACUUCCACUUUCAAAGAUAGGACUUAGGUGUAGAAAACCAGGUGUUGUAUCUAGGGAAGGGGCUGGUAUCUUUACUUUAUGGACAUGGUGAAUUGCUUACAGCUGGGGGAACUAAAACUCAUUUUCUUCAAAUAUUUAUUCCUGAGCAAUAAAGAGAACAGAAACAUUUGAAAAUGCACAGGCAAAUCAGAUGUUCUUAAAACAAAUAAUGAGAAAAUUCUGUUUAGCUACUUACUAGCAACCACUGCAAGGUAGUUCAUUCUGGCUAGAAAAUUAAAUAUAUUGGAAGAUUUUGUCACCACAGGGCAUUCAUUUGCUCUCAUAAAAGACAGAAGUGCAUUGAAGACAAGCUUUUAAAUGCUUUGAAACCAGUGGUGAUGGUAAGCAGAGAGUUCAAACUAGCUGACACUUUCCCAGAUAAAUAUGGCUAGGAAAACAUAUUGGAUUCUACCAAUUCACAGUAACUGGCAACACUUCAAAGGGAAAAUCAAAUUUAUUUCCUCUUGAAGGCAAAAAAAAAAAAAAAA
rnacentral:lncRNA from 1 species